GUAGAUGGUGAAAUGAACAGGAGUCAUGAGUGACAAUCACAUGUUUAUAUGUUUAUUCAGAGUUCUUCUAACCCUUCAGACCCACUUUUACACUGUCUCCAUGUUGACUCUGGUGGAAGCCAAUUUUCUCCCUGCUUUCUAGAAAUCGUGGCCUGACAGGACUUGUCCUACAGCAUCCACUCAGUACUGAAGUUUUCAAGCCAUUUCUGACAAGGCAUGUGAAUAAUGAUUGGUACUAAGAUGAGGAAUUGGGUCAUAAUGCCCUAAGGACUUUGUGAGGUAGCAGCAGGUAACAUUGUAGUCAGUGGCUUUGUAAGAACUGGAUUUGAAACUACUACUUUAUUUUCUAUGGGUCCGGAAUGAUCAAAGUUCAGUAGUUCAGAUUUCGUCCCAUGACCUCUAUAGAUAUUAGCUUAGGCACAGGAUUGGAGAAGCAGCCCAGGGAAGAGGUACAGGAAGUGAGGCCCGGAAGUGACCCGAGCACAGCUCUCUUCCUGUCUCUGAUCCCGAUGUGCCCGUCUCCCAUCAACCCAGAAUGGAAGCUCUCCGGAUUUUAUGAUGCCAUUGGCCAUUGGUCAUUGGUCAUUGUGAUGAACUCAAUCUCCUCCCCUCUGUGGAGGAUGGGGGUGGGGCAGAAAGUCUCCGCUGUCCAGUGAUACGGUUGAUUUCUCUAGCGACCAGGACCUUUCCUGAAACUGGCUGGGGGCUUCCAGUCACCAGUCAUCUCAUUAACACAAACUUAAGUACAGUUGAAGGGGGUUUGUUGUGAAUAAUAAAAGUUACUCCUCUUCCCUCUAUCACUCAGAAACUCCAAGGGAUAGAAAAUGAAUAUAAAUACACAAUGGAAAUUAUUCAGACAC
rnacentral:lncRNA from 1 species